rnacentral:rRNA from 1 species
AUUGAACGCUGGCGGCAUGCCUUACACAUGCAAGUCGAACGGCAGCACGGGAGCAAUCCUGGUGGCGAGUGGCGAACGGGUGAGUAAAGUAUCGGAACGUGCCCAGUCGUGGGGGAUAACGUAGCGAAAGUUACGCUAAUACCGCAUACGAUCUAUGGAUGAAAGCGGGGGAUCGCAAGACCUCGCGCGAUUGGAGCGGCCGAUAUCAGAUUAGGUAGUUGGUGGGGUAAAGGCUCACCAAGCCGACGAUCUGUAGCUGGUCUGAGAGGACGACCAGCCACACUGGGACUGAGACACGGCCCAGACUCCUACGGGAGGCAGCAGUGGGGAAUUUUGGACAAUGGGCGAAAGCCUGAUCCAGCCAUGCCGCGUGCAGGAUGAAGGCCUUCGAGUUGUAAACUGCUUUCGUACGGAACGAAAAGGUUUGGCCUAAUAAGCUGAGCUCAUGACGGUACCGUAAGAAUAAGCACCGGCUAACUACGUGCCAGCCGCCGCAGUAA